GUCAUUGAUUUUUCCAAACUCAAUGCCAAUAUUCAUGGAUUGAAUUGUUUACUAAAAUUAAAUUGUUAUGUUAUGUAGUUGUGGCUGAGUGUGGAAAGCUUCCACUAGCUCUUAAAGUGAUCGGAGCUUCGUUUGCAAAAUCAGAAUGAAUUGUAUUGGUUAAGCGAUAAAACAAGGAUUUCUCAAGGCUUAAGCAUCGAUGCUCAAGGCAAUAAAUUCGAUAUCGGCGCUGCUAGGAGGCUUUUAGCAGGUGGCGUGGCUGGAAGAAUUGCGCAGACUGCAAUUUAUCUGUUGGAUUUUAUCGAAACUAGGAUACAGACAUGUGCCUCUAAGGUGGAAGAGCUUCUAAUCUUGGAACACUCACAAAAAAUAUAUGGAUUCAAGAGGGACCUCAAGCUUUCAACAUAGGACUUCUUCCAUCUGUGAUCGGUACAAUUCCUUAUGCUAGCAUUGAUCUCGCUGUUUACCAUACAUUGAAAGAUAUGUCUAGAAGAUAUAUCAUUCAUGAUAAUGAUCCUUGACAACGCAGAGAAUAUUUUGAGCAGUACAUUGGGCUUUUGCAAUUAAUGGCCUUUGUCGUUGAGGAAUGGCAGAAACAACAUAAUACUAUACAAAAUUAAUUAUACACACACUUAUUGGCCAUUGAUUAUGUAAAUGUUGAUUGUUGUGACACUAUGUGGGACUUGGGUUGGGCUCCCUUUUCUUCUUUUUCAGGGUUGUAUUGCAUCAUAUCUGAAACCAAACGUCCCAUCACUUUCCAUGUCU